GAUGAACGCUGGCGGCGUGCUUAACACAUGCAAGUCGAACGGAAAGGCCCAAGCUUGCUUGGGUGCUCGAGUGGCGAACGGGUGAGUAACACGUGGGUGAUCUGCCCUGCACUUUGGGAUAAGCCUGGGAAACUGGGUCUAAUACCGGAUAGGACCAUCGUUUAGUGUCGGUGGUGGAAAGUUUUUCGGUGUGGGAUGAGCUCGCGGCCUAUCAGCUUGUUGGUGGGGUAAUGGCCUACCAAGGCGUCGACGGGUAGCCGGCCUGAGAGGGUGUACGGCCACAUUGGGACUGGGAUACGGCCCAGACGCCUACGGGCGGCAGCAGUGGGGAAUAUUGCACAAUGGGCGCAAGCCUGAUGCAGCGACGCCGCGUGAGGGAUGACGGCCUUCGGGUUGUAAACCUCUUUCAGUAUGGAACAAGGAUCCUUCUUUUGGGGGGUUUGAGGGUACGUGCAGAAGAAGCGCCGGCUAACUACGUG
rnacentral:rRNA from 1 species